rnacentral:lncRNA from 1 species
CUCGUAUGUAAGUUGGCUGGACAUCAAUAUCAAGCAGAGAAGUGUCCAGAUGUCUGUAAACAGCAAGAUCCAAGAUGAACUGAUUGUUUUCUUCAUCAUCUUUCAAAGAGAAAUGAAGCUUAGGCAUAUUGAUAUUCAGAACUUUUCCUUCUGCAGUGACCAGUUUUGGAAGAGGCUUCUCUCUCUUUUUUGAUCCUCUUAUAUUGUCUUUCGCUUUCCUUUUUUCUUCAAUAUAUCUGUGAGUUUCUAAUCUAGAUUCUGGAGUAUAUGGUGUUGG